AGAGUUUGAUCAUGGCUCAGAACGAACGCUGGCGCAUGCCUAACACAUGCAAGUCGAACGAGGGCUUCGGCCCUAGUGGCGCACGGGUGAGUAACGCGUGGGAACCUGCCCUGUGGUACGGAAUAACUCCGGGAAACUGGAGCUAAUACCGUAUGCGUCCUUUGGGACAAAGAUUUAUCGCCAUGGGAUGGGCCCGCGUAGGAUUAGCUUGUUGGUGGGGUAACGGCCUACCAAGGCUUCGAUCCUUAGCUGGUCUGAGAGGAUGAUCAGCCACACUGGGACUGAGACACGGCCCAGACUCCUACGGGAGGCAGCAGUGGGGAAUAUUGGACAAUGGGCGCAAGCCUGAUCCAGCAAUGCCGCGUGAGUGAUGAAGGCCUUCGGGUUGUAAAGCUCUUUCGCACGCGACGAUGAUGACGGUAGCGUGAGAAGAAGCCCCGGCUAACUUCGUGCCAGCAGCCGCGGUAAUACGAAGGGGGCUAGCGUUGUUCGGAAUUACUGGGCGUAAAGGGCGCGUAGGCGGUACUUCAAGUCAGGCGUGAAAGCCCCGGGCUCAACCUGGGAACCGCGCUUGAGACUGGAGAACUAGAGUUCGGGAGAGGAUGGUGGAAUUCCCAGUGUAGAGGUGAAAUUCGUAGAUAUUGGGAAGAACACCGAUGGCGAAGGCAGCCAUCUGGACCGACACUGACGCUGAGGCGCGAAAGCGUGGGGAGCAAACAGGAUUAGAUACCCUAGUAGUCC
rnacentral:rRNA from 1 species